UACGUAGGUGGCAAGCGUUGUCCGGAUUUACUGGGCGUAAAGAGCGCGCAGGCGGUUGGAUUAGUCGAAUGUGAAAGCCCCCGGCUCAACUGGGGAGGGUCAUUCGAUACUGUCCAACUUGAAGGCAGGAGAGGGCAGCAGAAUUCCCGGUGUAGUGGUGAAAUGCGUAGAUAUCGGGAGGAAUACCAGUGGCGAAGGCGGCUGCCUGGCCUGUUCUUGACGCUGAGGCGCGAAAGCUGGGGGAGCAAAC
rnacentral:rRNA from 1 species